UACGUAGGGUGCAAGCGUUGUCCGGAAUUAUUGGGCGUAAAGAGCUCGUAGGCGGUUCGUCGCGUCGGCUGUGAAAUCCCGAGGCUCAACCUCGGGUCUGCAGUCGAUACGGGCGGACUGGAGUUCGGCAGGGGAGACUGGAAUUCCUGGUGUAGCGGUGAAAUGCGUAGAUAUCGAGAGGAACACCAGUGGCGAAGGCGAGUCCCUGGACAACGACUGACACUGAGGCACGAAAGCUAGGGGAGCAAACAGG
rnacentral:rRNA from 1 species